AUUCUAACUCUGACAGCAGAAGCAGACAAAGAGCUAAGCCUAUGCACUGUUCAGGGCAUAAUUCAGGAUAAUAAUUUCAGCUCUCUUGUUUCUUAUACACACCAAGGGAUCCUUUGAAUUGUUGCACUUUGUGACAAAUCCAACAGAAGUGGACAAUGAUAGGAUGUGACCAAGUCAAAAAUAAUAUGCAUCCCAUUAGGAUGGGAAGAACCUACAGAGGUCUGAAGUUAAGAGUAGUACUGAGCAUUCAUGUCUGUGUCUGCUGGUUGAAAUGAAUUCUCAUCAUUUGCAGCUUACUCCUCCUCGGGCUGUUCUCACCAGAUGAUGAGAAUUUUGCAUGUCCGAUGAACAGUCUGUGAUAAAGAAGAUUUAGGAUGAGGAGAAAGAAACGAGUGCAGGUUUAUGAUUUCGGAUACAUCCACCCAGUAGAUGAUAAAUCUGGAUACAUUAACCGGGUGUUGGACUGUAGAGAAGAAGAUAACGAGUCUCUAUCCUGUCUGCAGAUGCUGCCUAAUUUGCACAUGGAGAGAGCUUUCUGGUAUUGUGGAAGAUAAGCUCAUGGAGGAACUGGACAAUGGCACUCACCCAAGAAACAUGGCAGGUCCAAGAUUCUAAACCACCAAAAAGAAAACACCUAUUCCAUUUCCCCUCAUCUGAUGUAUGCAACGAUUCAUGAUGAUAUGUCCUGUUCUUGGAUCAUCCUACAGGAUAUAGUAUACAGACAAUGCAUUCAUCAAACAAGUGUUCCUUUUCCCCAUAAACUUCUCAGAAUCUAAGUUGAAACUGUGUAAAGAAUCGUUUGUUUCUUUUUCCUGAAAGCAAAUCCUUGAUCCAACUUCUGAAUUUACAGUCCAUGUCAUUAGAUCUCAGAAAGCUGUAGUCAUUCCGAACAAACAGAGUGGCAGACAUGCACCAAUUUUCUUGUGCCUCCAUAGAUCCAGGAACAUUUCUUCUCUCUGAUGCCACUCCAUCAUUCUUCUCCUUUUGGUUCUCGCUGCCAUAGGAUGGAUGCUACUUGACGAAAAAACUUGUUUUCUUUCUCAUCAAGUUUUGGCGGAGCGGCUGGGCUGAGCAUGGAUUUGCACAGGGUUCAGUGAUGAAGGAGAUGAUGCACCAAUUAUGGCUAUGACUGAUUCAUGAUUCAGCUUUGUUCUUAUCAUUUUCUUCAACUCUUAUGGAUGCAUAUUCUGCAACAGUCUAUUUCCAUGUCUCCUGUUGUACAUCAAAGACGCUCAUCAACCAUCACCGCAUACAGAGUCUUUAAUACAUGAAGGAGAAACACAAGCAAUAUACUGCUACAAGAGUAUUUGACGCCAUCAAAUAUGUUGUCAAGCAAGCUCUUGGUUCUUCUCAACCACCCUCACUUCCUUAGCAGAUCUGAGAGUGGCUGCCUGAAGAAUAGAUUACGACAACCGAAGCAUACGUUUCAUUAGCAGUGACAUAAAACAUGAUCGAGAAGCACUUUGCAACCCUGAGAGAAUACCUGCUCUUUGGUUAUCUCCACUGAGAAGCCGUCAACAAUGGCUAAGGAAGAUUUCUUCUUGUA